UACAUAGGGUGCAAGCGUUAAUCGGAAUUACUGGGCGUAAAGCGUGCGCAGGCGGUUUUGUAAGUCUGUCGUGAAAUCCCCGGGCUCAACCUGGGAAUGGCGAUGGAGACUGCAAGGCUGGAAUCUGGCAGAGGGGGGUAGAAUUCCACGUGUAGCAGUGAAAUGCGUAGAGAUCGGGAGGAACAUCAGUUGCGAAGGCGGCUCUCUGGACCAGCACUGACACUGAGGCACGAAAGCGUGGGGAGCAAACAGG
rnacentral:rRNA from 1 species